rnacentral:tRNA from 1 species
GCUAUGUUAGUUUAUAAUUAGAAUGUGUAACUUGUAAUUACAAGGUUUAAUUAGCA